GAUGAACGCUAGCGGCAGGCCUAACACAUGCAAGUCGAGGGAGAGGUUACCUUCGGGUAACCAAAACCGGCGCACGGGUGCGUAACGCGUAUACAAUCUGCCUUUCACAUAGGGAUAGCCCGAAGAAAUUUGGAUUAAUACCUAAUGGUAUAUAAGAGCGGCAUCGUUUUUAUAUUAAAGCUACGGUGGUGAAAGAUGAGUAUGCGUUCUAUUAGCUAGUUGGAGAGGUAACGGCUCCCCAAGGCGACGAUAGAUAGGGGUUCUGAGAGGGAUGUCCCCCACACGGGUACUGAGAUACGGACCAGACUCCUACGGGAGGCAGCAGUGAGGAAUAUUGGACAAUGGUCGGAAGACUGAUCCAGCCAUGCCGCGUGCAGGAUGAAGGUCCUAUGGAUUGUAAACUGCUUUUGUAAGGGAAGAAUAAGGAGUACGUGUACUUUGAUGACGGUACCUUACGAAUAAGCAUCGGCUAACUCCGUG
rnacentral:rRNA from 1 species